CCCCUAGAUGUUCUGGGCCGCACGCGCGCUACACUGACGAAUGCAACGAGCUUAUAACCUUGGCCGAAAGGUUUGGGUAAUCUCCAAAUUUCGUCGUGAUGGGGAUAGAUUAUUGCAAUUAUUAAUCUUCAACGAGGAAUUCCUAGUAAGCGCGAGUCAUCAGCUCGCGUUGAUUACGUCCCUGCCCUUUGUACACACCGCCCGUCGCUCCUACCGAUUGAAUGGUCCGGUGAAAUGUUCGGACCGCGACAAGGCGGACGGUUCGCUGUCAGCUUUGCUGCGGGAAGUUCAUUAAACCUUAUCAUUUAGAGGAAGGAGAAGUCGUAACA
rnacentral:rRNA from 1 species